GACGAACGCUGGCGGCGUGCCUAAUACAUGCAAGUAGAACGCACAGUUUAUACCGUAGCUUGCUACGCCAUAGACUGUGAGUUGCGAACGGGUGAGUGACGCGUAGGUAACCUGCCUGGUAGCGGGGGAUAACUAUUGGAAACGAUAGCUAAUACCGCAUAAUAUUGAUUAUUGCAUGAUAAUUGAUUGAAAGAUGCUAUUGCAUCACUACCAGAUGGACCUGCGUUGUAUUAGCUAGUAGGUGAGGUAACGGCUCACCUAGGCGACGAUACAUAGCCGACCGGGGAGGGUGAUCGGCCACACUGGGACUGAGACCCGGCCCAGACUCCUACGGGAGGCAGCAGUAGGGAAUCUUCGGCAAUGGACGAAAGUCUGACCGAGCAACGCCGCGUGAGUGAAGAAGGUUUUCGGAUCGUAAAGCUCUGUUGUAAGAGAAGAACGGGUGUGAGAGUGGAAAGUUCACACUGUGACGGUAUCUUACCAGAAAGGGACGGCUAACUACGUG
rnacentral:rRNA from 1 species